AUACCAGAAAACAGAAAACGCAGAGGAGAAAUUCCCAGAAGGUAUAUUCCUCAAGGAAAUUCAAAUAAUUUCAACCUAACUUUUGGGUGACCUAAAAAGAGAAAAUGUUAGUGGUACAAACGAGAGUAUCAAAAAAUACGGAAAAUGAACAUAUGAUGCCUAAAACCACACAUCCCAUGUAAAAUAUAAUUGUGCACUACCUCUUACUAAUAAAGAAGAGUAAACCAUAGCAGAUGUCACCUCUAAGGCUAUUUUACCUCCUGC
rnacentral:lncRNA from 1 species